rnacentral:rRNA from 1 species
CCCAACUAAAGCAUUUACUAGUCCCAGUAUAGGCGAUAGAAAAGACACCAUUGGAGCGAUAGAGACCACGUACCGUAAGGGAAAGAUGAAAUAGCAGUGAAAAAAUAAGCUAAAAACAGCAAAGAUCAGCCCUUGUACCUUUUGCAUCAUGGUCUAGCAAGAAAAACCAAGCAAAAUGAAUUUAAGUUUGCCACCCCGAAACCCAAGCGAGCUACCUACGAGCAGCUAUUAUUGAGCGAACCCGUCUCUGUUGCAAAAGAGUGGGAUGACUUGUUGGUAGAGGUGAAAAGCCAACCGAGCUGGGUGAUAGCUGGUUGCCUGUGAAACGAAUCUUAGUUCACUCUUAAUUCUUCUCCAAGGAACUCCCAAACCCUAAUGAAGCGAAUUAAGGGCUAUUUAAAGGAGGUACAGCUCCUUUAAAAAAGAAUACAAUCUCUACGAGCGGAUAAAUAACCAAAAUACAAAAUUACUGUGGGCCCUCAAGCAGCCAUCAACAAAGAGUGCGUUAAAGCUCUGUGCUCUAAAAAUACAAGAACCAUAUGACUCCCUCCCCACUAACAGGCUAACCUAUAACAAUAGGAGAAUUAAUGCUAGAAUGAGUAACCAGGGUUCUCCCUCUUCGACGCAAGCUUACAUCCAUACAUUAUUAACAAACCACCAUAUACGA